GGCUCGAGCCUGAGGCGCGCCGGGCCAGAGACGUCGCAGACCCCAGGACUCGAAGGCGGUGAAUUAUAGCUCUUGAAGUCUGCAAUAAAAAAUGGCCUCCAAUAAAACUACACUGCAAAAGAUGGGAAGGAAACAGAAUGGAAAGAGUAAAAAGGUUGAAGAGGCAGAGCCUGAAGAGUUUGUGGUGGAAAAAGUACUGGGUCGACGUGUAGUGAAUGGGAAAGUGGAAUAUUUCCUGAAGUGGAAGAGAUUUACAGACGCUGACAAUACUUGGGAGCCUGAAGAAAAUUUAGACUGUCCAGAGUUAAUUGAAGCAUUUCUUAAUUCUCAAAAAGCUGGUAAAGAAAAAGAUGGUACAAAAAGAAAGUCUUUAGCUGACAGUGAAUCUGAUGACAGCAAAUCAAAGAAGAAAAGAGAUGCUGCUGACAACCUGAGGGGCUUUGCAAGAGGUCUUGAUCCUGAAAGAAUAAUUGGUGCCACAGACAGCAGUGGAGAACUGAUGUUUCUCAUGAAAUGGAAAGAUUCAGAUGAGGCAGACCUGGUGCUGGCGAAAGAGGCAAAUAUGAAAUGUCCUCAGAUUGUAAUUGCUUUCUAUGAGGAGAGACUAACUUGGCAUUCUUGUCCAGAAAAUGAAGCUCAAUAAUUGUUUGCAUUGCUUUUUAUAUAUAUUUAUAUAUAUAUAUAUAUAAAAUCUGGGUCUUGGUUUUCGAUAUCCUAGUAUGACGAAAUAACUGCAUUCUAAUGAAAAUUAAGUUUGAUAAGUUUGUUUUGAAAGUAGUUUUGGGAGAGUUGUUGGGGGGGGUUGCAUCAGUAGCACCAGUUACUUUGAACAAAUAAAAACUUUCUGUAGUUGCUUCCUUUCUCAGAAAAUAACAUUUGAUACCAUGGUAUAUUAUUUCCUCUGCAUUAGAGAACAGCUUUUCUAAAUGUUGGGAGAAAUUUCCAUAGUCAUUACUCAAUCAGAAUUUGUGUUCUCAUAUGCCUAAGGACCAUUCUGGAUUUUUUGUUUUGUGUGUGUGUAUACAUAAAAUACA